rnacentral:rRNA from 1 species
GACGAACGCUGGCGGCGCGCUUAACACAUGCAAGUCGAACGGAAAGGCCUGCUUUCCCUUGUGGAUUGCGGGUACUCGAGUGGCGAACGGGUGAGUAACACGUGAGUGAUCUGCCCCCAACUUGGGUAUAAGCCUGGGAAACUGGGUCUAAUUCCCGAUAGGACUGCAGGGUGGUGCCUGUGGUGGAAAACGAUUUUCUAGUGGUUGGGGAUGAGCUCGCGGCCUAUCAGCUUGUUGGUGGGGUAAUGGCCUACCAAGGCGGCGACGGGUAGCCGGCCUGGGAGGGUGGACGGCAGCAUUGGGACGGAGAUACGGCCCAGACUCCUACGGGAGGCAGCAGUGGGGAAGAAUGCACAAUGAGCGGAAGCCUGAUGCAGCGACGCCGCGUGGGGGAUGACGGCCUUCGGGUGGUAAACUCCUUUCGACCGCGAGGAAGCCACCUGGUUGGAAGGGUGGUGACGGUAGUGGUAGAAGAAGCACCGGCUAACUACGUG